rnacentral:rRNA from 1 species
AGUGCUCGCAAGAGAACCGGAACACAGGUGCUGCAUGGCUGUCGUCAGCUCGUGUCGUGAGAUGUUGGGUUAAGUCCCGCAACGAGCGCAACCCUUGUCAUUAGUUGCCAUCAUUUGGUUGGGGCACUCUAAUGAGACUGCCGGUGACAAACCGGAGGAAGGUGGGGAUGACGUCAAGUCCUCAUGGCCCUUAUGGGUAGGGCUUCACACGUCAUACAAUGGUCGGUACAGAGGGUUGCCAACCCGCGAGGGGGAGCUAAUCCCACAAAGCCGAUCGUAGUCCGGAUCGCAGUCUGCAACUCGACUGCGUGAAGUCGGAAUCGCUAGUAACCGUGGAUCAGCAUGUCACGGUGAAUACGUUCCCGGGUCUU